rnacentral:rRNA from 1 species
GACGAACGCUGGCGGCGUGCUUAAUACAUGCAAGUCGAGCGAAGAUACUGAUGAAGCUUGCGAUUUGGUAUCUUAGCGGCGGACGGGUGAGUAACGCGUGGGCAAUCUGCCUUCUAGUCCGGGAUAACAGCGCGAAAGUGCUGCUAACACCGGAUAUGCUCCCGGUAAGGCAUCUUACAGAGAGGAAAAGCAAUGCUAGAAGAUGAGCCCGCGUCCCAUUAGCUAGUUGGUGAGGUAACGGCUCACCAAGGCGACGAUGGGUAGCCGACCUGCGAGGGUGACCGGCCACACUGGGACUGAGACACGGCCCAGACUCCUACGGGAGGCAGCAGGAGGGAAUUUUCGGCAAUGGGCGCAAGCCUGACCGAGCAAUGCCGCGUGAGGGAAGAAGGUCUUCGGAUCGUAAACCUUUGUCUUUGGGGACGAUAAUGACGGUACCCGAGGAGGAAGCCACGGCUAACUACGUGCCAGCAGCCGCGGUAACAC